UUCAAGAAGAAAAGCAAUAUAAUAUAAAUAACAAAAUGCAAGAUCCUAAACUUAAUGAAAAUGCCAAAGAAUUGGUGAACAAUGUCAAAUUUGAAAUGGAAAAUGUUGGUUGCUGCUGAAUAUUUUAAAACAAAGAAACAAUAAAAUGGACAACAAAACUAUAUGGAGGUUUCUUGUUAUUGAAGAUGAAAAGGACCUUUUAGCAGUGCGUUCAAAAUUAUAUAUGGUGGCAAUAGUAAUGGGAUAUAAUAUUAUGUAUGGUUGGAUUUAUAUGACAUGGCUAAUCAUACAAAUAUUAUUGAUGUCAGCACCAGCAUUUUUGUUUAAAUACAUUUCUUUAAAAUAUGUUGUAUAAAACAUUUAUAAUUUUAAU